UACGAAGGGGGCUAGCGUUGUUCGGAAUUACUGGGCGUAAAGCGCACGUAGGCGGACAUUUAAGUCAGGGGUGAAAUCCCGGGGCUCAACCCCGGAACUGCCUUUGAUACUGGGUGUCUGGAGUCCGGAAGAGGUGAGUGGAAUUCCGAGUGUAGAGGUGAAAUUCGUAGAUAUUCGGAGGAACACCAGUGGCGAAGGCGGCUCACUGGUCCGGAACUGACGCUGAGGUGCGAAAGCGUGGGGAGCAAACAGGAUUAGAAACCCUAGUAGUCC
rnacentral:rRNA from 1 species